CUUGGAGGGUGGGGAGUCUCUCAGCCAGGAUUGUGAGAGGGUGCAGGCCAGGCUGAGGGAGCUCACUGGUGCACG
rfam:Myotis lucifugus cont2.19873, whole genome shotgun sequence.